rnacentral:rRNA from 1 species
AGCAGCCGCGGUAAUUCCAGCUCCAAUAGCGUAUAUUAAAGUUGCUGCAGUUAAAAAGCUCGUAGUUGAAUUUCGGGACCAUCAUGUCGGUCGUGCCUCGGUACGUACUGGCAUUGUUGGUUUCUCCCUUCUGACGAACCAUGAUGUCAUUAAUUUGGUGUCAUGGGGAAUCAGGACUGUUACUUUGAAAAAAUUAGAGUGUUUAAAGCAGGCUCACGCUUGAAUACAUUAGCAUGGAAUAAUGAAAUAGGACGUUUGAUUCUAUUUUGUUGGUUUCUAGGAUCGACGUAAUGAUUAAUAGGGAUAGUUGGGGGCAUUAGUAUUCAAUUGUCAGAGGUGAAAUUCUUGGAUUUAUUGAAGACUAACUACUGCGAAAGCAUUUGCCAAGGAUGUUUUCAUUAAUCAAGAACGAAAGUUAGGGGAUCGAAGACGAUCAGAUACCGUCGUAGUCUUAACCAUAAACUAUGCCGACUAGGGAUCGGAUGAUGUUAAUUUUUAAUGACUCU